ACGAUUUCAAUUCUUUCCCAAAUAACUCCUAGCUUCCAAAACGUUCCCAAGUCCGACACUCCAUCAAAACCCCUUAUGUUUAUUGCGGUUACGGAUUCUUUUCUUUUUCCCCCAAAACAUAAAAUAAAAUUGCUCUUGGUACAAAAUAAAACUUUGCUUACCAUUUCGCUUUGUUUGUUCGGAUGAUCUCACAAGGGCAGGCCAAAAUCAGACCUUACAUUCACCCAAAUGCGCACAUCGAAAUCAACUCCUCUCUUCCUACAUCUCCCCUUUACAAACCCCAAAUACCAUAAACAAAGGCAUUAGGUUUAACAAGAAUUUUAGUUUUGGUUUUUGCCUGCGCAGGAACUGGAGUAGUUUGGUCAAGAGCAAUCAUACUUGAGCUCCAAACUGGCACCAUCCCCGGUGGACAUUGGCCCACUAGCAACUCCAACCUUCUCCGCAACUGCAAUCGAAUCUCCUCCAGUGAUGUUUGAGUCCCUUGCGCUCAGGUCUGCUUGCUUGCUUUUCAGUGGCCUGCAAAAAAUAUUUGCAUUUCUAUCGACAACAUAAUCUUCCUUUCGUUAACCAACCCCCCUCCUCCUCCUCCUCUCCUCCUUCCCCAACACCAAAACAAGGGAAAAAAAAGAGAGAAAAAACACGUUAUUAUAAUAGUUAAUGCAGGUUACAAUAACGGUAUUACGUGUCAAGUAUUCCUCAAGAAAGGUGCAGGCCCAAUCGCAAAACACGCAACCCUGCAACAUAGUACAGUUGCAACGCCUUUCUCCGUUAGCAAUUCUUCGUAUAACAAAAGUAUCUUGAUCUCAUUUGACCUCGUAAUAGACAAUCCAACCAGAGUGCUUCCAUCUUGCCUUCUUUCCCCAACCCCCCAACCCAAGGGCUAAUCUUAUCCGACGCAUUCAUGAAAAAUAUGAAACCAAAUUCCAUAUCCAAGCUUACAAGCCUCGGUUCUGAUGACAAAUUCAAAGGCCUCCAUCCAAUAUUACAGUUUUUGUAGUCUCCAAGACCUCACUGAAUCUUUUGAGAGAGUCCAGUCCAAUAUCCCGUCUCAUCCAGCCAUCUGGAAUAGCAGAUGCCGGCACGACUUAUGAUAAUAAACACAAACUUUCAGCUUUUCGACUCACUAUUUGGGCCAAAAAUGCACGAAGACCAAAGCAUCUGAGAUAAUCAGCAUAAUAAGGUGCACGCAAUUGAAGAAUUUUAAUCUUUUCAGAAUGCACAUAGAAAGUUCCAAAGGAGCAGCGCUUUAAGAAGCAGACCUGGCAGUUGGCAUCAAGGGCAAACUUGCCUACAACAAACAUCAUCACUAGGCAGCAACAGGCUAACUCCUUUGGCCUUGGCCUCCUCAAGAAGUGAUGUUGCAACAUAUGACUUGUCCUCCUCUACCAAUGACAAUCCCACUGAAAGACCUUGAGCUUUGUAGGAUGUGAAGAUCAUUUCCCCACCCAAAAGCAAAAUGUCAACCUGCUCCAAAAGCAAUUCAAUCCCUCCAAUCUUUGAGGAAACCUUUGAACCACCCACACCAGCAGCAAAUGGACUUUUUGGGUUUGAAACGGCACCAACCAGUGAACCUAACUCCUAUAACAGCAGCAGAACAAAUUAACAUCAACUGACAGGAAUCUCAGAAGCAAGCAACAAAUACUGGCAACAUCAAUCAGGUAACAUGGAUUCACUUUUGUCCUCCUGGAAGGUAUCCUAAGUUGAACACAACUAACCUACACUAGGCACAGAAAAAGAAUAUGACACGAAUAAAAGAUUGCAACAGCAAAGGGCAUCAAUUCAAUCAUGGUAGUGCAACUAGGAAUGACAACGCUUAUUAUUGCACUUUAACAGCUCACACUGUAUAUCCUCAUAAGUUAGCUGAAGUAAUACCUUACAGCAACAUCACUGGGAACAACUUCCUCCAUUUUGCUAUGACACAUCAGGAACAGCUCAACAUGCUUUCUCUGCAUUUAAUAGCAUGACAAUAAAAUUUAGAAAUAAUGUGAAAUGGGAGAGCCAGUCUUUACAAGGUUCAAUUACGUUGAGAGAGAGAGAUUUUAGUCACUUUAAAUUUCAAACCAAACAAAUGUACCUCAGUUUUGGGUUUCAGAGGUAUUUAGUAAAACGUGCGGUUAAGAGAACAAAAGGGGUGCAUAUUAAGAAAUGCAAGCGUAGGAAGUGAUGGUUACAGCUGGACCUGCUUCUAGUAUUCUAAAGUCCAGUUGCAUUUCUGAAGAAUUAAAUGUAAACGUAAAAUGCAGUGCUUGGCCAGCUAAUGUGGCUGCAAGGACUAGAAAAUCUUCAAAUUGUUUUGCUUAAGAGUGAUCUCUCAAACUCUGGAAAUGACAUUGCACUAAUUGCAUGCAUUUAGUCAAUCGUAGUCUUCAAAAUCUCUAGGCUUCAUACAUUGUGUAGAAUCUGAAAAUAUUUUAGAGCGAUGCAGAUGUACAAAAUGCAUGAGCCAACUUUUGUGAACUAUAAAGACGAGGAAUAAAAAUGCCAAACGAUGGGCAAGCAUUGAACAGACUAUACAGAGAUGGGGGCAAAAAAAAAUCUGAAGAUUUAAACAGCUAAUGUCCAGAAGCAUCCAUCAGUGUGUCACCAGAUCUGGAGUAAGAGACUGAUCCAGUAAAAGUGAAGUAGUCUCCAAAGAAACUUUCUGAAUGUCCAUAGCAUAAACACGGCCUCCAUGUAUGGUGUUAUCAGCAACCAAGUUGACAAGGGCCAAGGUAUCAUGGCCGUUGCCACAAGUAGCAUCAAUAACCACGUCACCUUUUUGGACAACACGCUUCCACAAGCUACAGCAAUAGGAGAAUAUAUUUAGGAUAUACUUCAGAGGUAAUUAGUCGGAAUAAGCUGGAUACAUUGAUCAGCAUUUAGAUAUUCAAUAGAUGAACAUGAUGCUUCCGAGCAAUCAAGUGCAGCAGCAGAAGCAUGAGAAAUGGAAAGCAAGAAACUAAACGGGGUGCUCAUCAAUCAUUUCCUAUAGAGUACUAGUGUUAGUACAAAGCAAGGAAAGAGCAACCAACAUAAUUAUUAAAAAAAAAGGUUGAAAAAAACGAAGCGAAAAAAGAAAGUGGAAGACUUAAGAAAAGAGGGAGGAAUACCGACGAGUGAGCAACUUGAGUGGCCUUCUUCUUCCCAAAUACAUAUCCCAUCAUGACGUCCUCCUCUAAUCCACAAAACCAUAUAUUAAAGAAAAGAUAAUAUUUUAAUGAUGAUAAUAAUAAUAAUAAUAAGAAGCAGUGGUGGAGCUAAAGCCCGGAAAGGAACAAUAAGAGAAGGGAACGUAAGAACCUUUACCUGAAAGAGCAGGAGUGGAAGUGGUUGCAACUGAGGAUGCAUCUGUGAUGGAGGAUAAGGACGAAGCAGAAGAAAAGCAGUGAGGCAGUAGCGUUGGCGGUGGCGGUGGCGGUCGCAGAGACAGAAAGCGUUUGAGAUUGCCCCACCCCGACGCCGACUGGAUAUUACUACAACUUUUGGAGAAUAAAUGACGACGACUACUAGUAAUCGUAGCAGUCGCAGUAUGGCAGCAAAUACGCAUCAUAAUAUUGUGAAUGGCCAGGCCAGACGUCAUCCUCUUCGAUCGUGAUUCCUGAUUACAGCACCGGCCGCGGCGAAGGCUAAAACCUCCUACGGAAACCAAUUUUAAAUUGAAAAAAAUAAUAUACUGGUAUAUAAUAUAGUUCACCAGUCACAAGGCGGGUCGCGCAUGCGGGACAACAACCGUAUCUCGGGUCGGGUCAAGAUCGUCCUCGUUUCACAACCAAAAAAAAAAUCCCGGGAUGCUAAAUUGCUUGCACUUUUGCUGACGGAUUCAUUCAUUAAUUUUGUCUAUCACCGGCUGGUUACAUAAGUACUACUGUAAUAAUUAGGAGUUCACCUGCUUCCUUCUCCAUGUCCAUGCCGCAUCUACAAGUCAACGUCAUUGUCCUUUUUUUUCCCUGAAACGAUGGGAAGUCAACGUCAAUUGUCCACGGAGGCAAAUCCAGUUCUAACGGAUCGGAUCAUUCACUGCGGCCAGUCUAGCAACCGCCGGUAUAAUGUACACGCACCGCCUUACAUGAGAAUAAGAGCUGGAUCAGUGCUCAUAAAGAUCUUUUAAAAGUGAUUGACAUUAUUGUCCGCCCACCGAAGUUUAUAGCUUAGCAGCAGCGCAGAGCAGGAUUCGAUUAUGGUCGCAAACUCGAACAGCAAACAUAACCUCAAAAACCGCAGCAGUUUCAGAACCAACCAACAUUAGCACAAAGUAAUGCAUAACAACGGGCAAAAUUUAUUUCCAAGACACGGCCAGCUAUUUUUCAAGAUCUAAUCCGCUCAGGGGCAAAGCAAGAUAUGCAGCGAAUAUCUGAGGUAGGCGUAUUGCCAAACAAAAAAAAAAAAAAAAGAGCUCUUCUAAGCAUCAUCAAGGGCAAGUACUCCAGGGAGAGAUUUCCCUUCAAGAAGUUCCAAGCUUGCACCGCCACCUGUUGAAAUGUGGCUCAUCUUGUCUGCAAGCCCCACCUUCUCCACAGCAGCUACAGAAUCACCACCUCCAAUGAUUGUUGUCACUCCAUUCCCGCUAAGCUCAGCCAAUUUUUUCGCAAUAGCCUGACACAUACAAACAACAUCAAUAAAGCAUUUAUUUUUCAUAUAUGCAAUCGCCAUCAAUGUACCUUUUAAGGUACAAUUAAAUACUACUAUGUCAAACCUCUGUUCCUGUGGCAAAUUUGUCAUACUCGAAAACCCCCAUUGGUCCAUUCCAAAUAAUGGUUUUAGUGGCAUCUAAAGCUUCACUAAAUGACUUGAUAGCAUCAGGUCCAAUAUCCAAUCCCAUCCAACCAUCAGGAAUUCCGGAAGCUGGAACAACCUGCAGGAUGAGUUGAUCCAUUUCAAAAAAUAUAUAUAAAAAGCACCCAAUUCUUACUAUACCCGAUCACAACCUAACUACUUCAAUCUAUAUCAAUGCUCUUGCCAACUAUUUCGACAAGUUUGGGCAUAGGGGGGAAGAGAGUCAAAGAUGGGUUUGAUUUCUGACCUUGCUGUUUGCAUCAGGAGCAAACUUGUCAGCCGCAACUACGUCAGUGGGAAGCAACAGGGGAACUCCUUUGGCCUUGGCCUUCUCAAUGAGGGAUAGGGCAAGAUCAAGCCUGUCCUCCUCCACAAGCGAGGAUCCAACAGAGUGCCCUUGGGCCUUGUAGAAUGUAAAGAUCAUUCCACCACCCAGUAAGAGGAUGUCAACCUUAGCCAACAGUGACUCGAUUACACCAAUCUUGGUUGAAACCUUUGCACCACCAACGAUUGCAGCAUAUGGUUUCUUGGGAUUUGCCACAGCUCCCACGAGAUAAUCAAGCUCCUGAGGAACGAAAGCACAGGGUAAAAGUUACACUGCAAGCGCAUGUGCGCGAAGAGAGUAACACUCAAAAGUGAAAAACAAACCUUCUGCAUCAGAAAUCCAGCAACCGCAGGCUUCAAAUACUGGGCUACCCCUUCGGUGGAAGCAUGGGCUCUAUGUGCAGUUCCAAAAGCAUCAUUGACAUACAAGUCUGCAAGAGAAGCCAGCUUCUUUGCAAAUUCAGGAUCAUUCUUCUCCUCUUCUUUGUGGAAUCUGACAUUCUCCAGGAGCAAAACUCCACCUUCUGGCAAGGAAGCCACCAAUUUCUCUACUUCUUCACCAAUACAAUCGUUUGCGAUAAUGACCUACUUGAGUGUGGAUAUAGAAGGUAAGUGCUGAGAGCCCCCCUUAUCCUGUGAAAAUUAAUGUAGAAAAACAGUAAAAUUCGGAAGUACGCUAAACAACAGACCUCCACCCCAAGGAGUUCAGAGAGUCUGGGAACAAGAGGCUUCAAGCUGUAUUUUGGUGUGACACCUUUUGGACGUCCCUGACACCAAUAUCCAGGCAAAUACAUCAUUUCAUUUGCUACGAAGCAAAAAGCUGACAAUUACAAGAGCAAAUAACCUCCAUUCAUAGUGAAUACAAAUAAUAUGGCAUCCACGGAGUUCACCACUUCACCCCCAAGCAAUUUAUGUAAGGAAUGUUCAAGAUAAUCCCGAGACGAGGCAAUAGAACAAGUACAUUCGGAUGAUCAAAUAAAAAAAGUUCAUUCUUGUUUCCGAUUGUUUUAUUUGACAUCUUAUACUUGAGAAACUUGGAUACUUAUAGUGAUUGAAUCAAAUAUUAUGUACUCCCCAAAAAAAAAGAGCUUCAUUCUAUGCAAAAAAGAAGACCAGAUGAUCAUAUAAUUGCCGGUUCACUCACUGUUUUUGUCUAUUCUCCCCCUCACGUCUUUUGGGCUCACGGGGACAGCCUGGAGUACAUUUUUGACUGCCCCUAACUGCAAUAGCCAGUUGGGGCACCCUCCCUUCACUCAGGCCGGCUAGAGGGAGUAAAGAGAAUUGACACAUCAGUUGAGGAGUUAACCCGUAGCUUCGUAGCACAAAAAAAGGGGGUCUAAUGUCUUUUUUUGCAACAACACUUGAUCUAACAAACAUAAAGGCAUUAGAAAGACAUAUUUGCAGAGCCAUAAAAUAAGAGCAAAAUUUAGAAUUGGAAAAAAAAAGAAAAAAAAGAGAGGACCGAAUAAAAUGAAAUAUUCAUUGAUCUAAAAUUUCAAGUGAUCAGGAAGAAUGGUAGUAACAUCUAACAUGGGCUUAAAACAGGAAAUGCGGCAGCAAAGAAUAUGUAGAAAAUAGUAAGGGAGUGAAGAUAUAUACGCACCAGGUGAGAAGCGAGGAUGAUUUUAGCGGAGCAGCCGAUCAAGUAGUUGAUGGUGGGGACAGCGGCUCGGAUUCUGGUGUCGUCGGUGAUGUUGAAGUUGUCGUCCAAAGGAACGUUGAGAUCCACCCUCACAAAAACCUUCUUCCCCUUGAGAUCAGCUUCCUUGAGUGACCCCACGCUCUUCUUCGUCGCCAUACCUACUGUAAUUCUAGUUACUGUUAGUACUACUUGCUAUUCCGGGCGAUGAUUGAAUCUGUAACCUGGAUGGGAGGGGAGAACCAGCAAAAAAAUUGAUUGGAUUACAUGUUAGUAACUACUACUCCAUGAGUAAACCAAAACUAACGGGACAAAAAAUGAUAAAUUGAUUGGUUGAUUGAUUUAUUUAACUUCUAAACUACACCCAAAACAAAACCAAAGAAAAAAAAAAAAGAAAAGAAAAAGAGAAUACUAGGAAGCUCGAAUUGAAUGAGAGUUGGGAGAGACGAUGACGAUCAAGCAAACAUACACACUGAUGGAUGAGAUGCUGGGAGACUUAUAACAGCUUCACUCUACUGUCCGCGGCUUAGGUGAUGGUGAUGGAGGUUUUAAACUUCACUAAUAAAAAGAGAGUGCCAAUUACGUACACCCACUACUUACUCAUAUACUACUGCUAGUACGGUAGUAGUGGCAGACUAGAGUGGUAUUGAGAAUGGAAAGGAGAAUCUGCUACCCAAUGUUUUGUUUUCUGUCUUCUGGGUCAAGAAACUUUCGAACCAUUCCGUCUUCGUCCAGCCAGUAGUUUUGGCUAGAAUUUCAGAAUGGAAAGGAGAAUCUAGAAACUUCUGCUCCCAUCUUUCGUUUUUGGGUCAAGAAACUUUCGAACCGUUCCGUCUUCGCCUAGCCAGUGGUUUUGUUUAGGCCCAUUGGAACCAAUCUCCCCCACCAAUUUCCGCCAUAUUAGGGAGUCCAGUGCCGUCCAUCCAUUUCCAAGUACUCCGAUCUAGUUUUUUUAUGACAUAUCAAGAGCUGGAAUGGAUGGCUUGCUGCUGCGGUUUCCUGGUUCUAUACGCUUUUAUCGAUCCUUCGGGUUUUUGUUUGUGUUGGGGGGGUGGGGGAGCCACCAGAGGUUGUUUAAUUACCGGUUUUGCAACUAUAAUUUACAAUGUCCGAGAGUCGGUUCAUCAUUCAGCGCGCUCAGCUACUACGAUUUCAAUUCUUUCCCAAAUAACUCCUAGCUUCCAAAACGUUCCCAAGUCCGACACUCCAUCAAAACCCCUUAUGUUUAUUGCGGUUACGGAUUCUUUUCUUUUUCCCCCAAAACAUAAAAUAAAAUUGCUCUUGGUACAAAAUAAAACUUUGCUUACCAUUUCGCUUUGUUUGUUCGGAUGAUCUCACAAGGGCAGGCCAAAAUCAGACCUUACAUUCACCCAAAUGCGCACAUCGAAAUCAACUCCUCUCUUCCUACAUCUCCCCUUUACAAACCCCAAAUACCAUAAACAAAGGCAUUAGGUUUAACAAGAAUUUUAGUUUUGGUUUUUGCCUGCGCAGGAACUGGAGUAGUUUGGUCAAGAGCAAUCAUACUUGAGCUCCAAACUGGCACCAUCCCCGGUGGACAUUGGCCCACUAGCAACUCCAACCUUCUCCGCAACUGCAAUCGAAUCUCCUCCAGUGAUGUUUGAGUCCCUUGCGCUCAGGUCUGCUUGCUUGCUUUUCAGUGGCCUGCAAAAAAUAUUUGCAUUUCUAUCGACAACAUAAUCUUCCUUUCGUUAACCAACCCCCCUCCUCCUCCUCCUCUCCUCCUUCCCCAACACCAAAACAAGGGAAAAAAAAGAGAGAAAAAACACGUUAUUAUAAUAGUUAAUGCAGGUUACAAUAACGGUAUUACGUGUCAAGUAUUCCUCAAGAAAGGUGCAGGCCCAAUCGCAAAACACGCAACCCUGCAACAUAGUACAGUUGCAACGCCUUUCUCCGUUAGCAAUUCUUCGUAUAACAAAAGUAUCUUGAUCUCAUUUGACCUCGUAAUAGACAAUCCAACCAGAGUGCUUCCAUCUUGCCUUCUUUCCCCAACCCCCCAACCCAAGGGCUAAUCUUAUCCGACGCAUUCAUGAAAAAUAUGAAACCAAAUUCCAUAUCCAAGCUUACAAGCCUCGGUUCUGAUGACAAAUUCAAAGGCCUCCAUCCAAUAUUACAGUUUUUGUAGUCUCCAAGACCUCACUGAAUCUUUUGAGAGAGUCCAGUCCAAUAUCCCGUCUCAUCCAGCCAUCUGGAAUAGCAGAUGCCGGCACGACUUAUGAUAAUAAACACAAACUUUCAGCUUUUCGACUCACUAUUUGGGCCAAAAAUGCACGAAGACCAAAGCAUCUGAGAUAAUCAGCAUAAUAAGGUGCACGCAAUUGAAGAAUUUUAAUCUUUUCAGAAUGCACAUAGAAAGUUCCAAAGGAGCAGCGCUUUAAGAAGCAGACCUGGCAGUUGGCAUCAAGGGCAAACUUGCCUACAACAAACAUCAUCACUAGGCAGCAACAGGCUAACUCCUUUGGCCUUGGCCUCCUCAAGAAGUGAUGUUGCAACAUAUGACUUGUCCUCCUCUACCAAUGACAAUCCCACUGAAAGACCUUGAGCUUUGUAGG
rnacentral:lncRNA from 1 species